ACGCACGUGUGAAACUUGAAGGAAUUGACGGAAGGGCACCACAAGAACGCGUGGAGCAUGUGGCUUAAUUUGACCCAACGCGGGAAAUCUUACCGGGUCCGGACACACUGAGGAUUGACAGGCAAUAUUAGCAAUUCUAUGUCUUUCGGGAUAUUAGUAGUUGUUAUGUUAAAUAUGCUAGUCCUUUCAUGAUUAUGUGAUAGGUGGUGCAUGGCCGUUCUUAGUUCGUGGAGUGAUCUGUCUGCUUAAUUGCGUUUCACUAAGGGCCUAUAAUUUAACGUGUGUUGCGGCACUUUGACCCCUCUUUUUUAAAGAGCGCGUGUCUUAGCUUGUUUAGCUCACACAAUUAGGUCCUGAAAGCAACGAACGUGACCG
rnacentral:rRNA from 1 species